UGGGGAAUAUUGCGCAAUGGGCGAAAGCCUGACGCAGCGACGCCGCGUGAGGGAUGAAGGUCUUCGGAUCGUAAACCUUUGUCAGCAGGGAAGAACGGUCACUGUGCUAAUCAGCAGUGAAUUGACGGUACCUGCAAAGGAAGCACCGGCUAACUCCGUGCC
rnacentral:rRNA from 1 species